rfam:Enterovibrio nigricans DSM 22720 genome assembly, contig: BP91DRAFT_scaffold00003.3
UAAUUGAAGAGUUUGAUCAUGGCUCAGAUUGAACGCUGGCGGCAGGCCUAACACAUGCAAGUCGAGCGGUAACAUUUCAAAAGCUUGCUUUUGAAGAUGACGAGCGGCGGACGGGUGAGUAAUGGCUGGGAACCUGCCCUGAUGUGGGGGAUAACAGUUGGAAACGACUGCUAAUACCGCAU